UCUCAUAGGCACGCCCCGGAGUGGGCAAAGACCUGGCACGAAGACACUCUUGCACAUGCGCACACAGUUAACUUCCUGAAAGGAAGUCGGGCUGGCGCGGCGGAAGCCAGCGCCAUCUUGUGGUGGCGAAUGUUAUUGCGGCUCUCCACAUAUAUGAUCAUGGGAAGGGAGGUACAGGCAUAGCAGAGUUAUCGGUAAUGGGCCCAACCUAGAAGUUACCAUUGCCUAUCAACAGAAGAGAGAGAGAGCAAUCCAGAAUAUUCAGCACGUGGAAGGCAAUAGCAGCAGCAGUAGCAGCAGCAACAGCAACAACAAUACAAAACGGUGAACUGCUAUCCACAUCAACAUGGCGAAUCUCAUAAAGAUGUUGGGGGGAAAAAGCACCAAGACACAGCAGGCGAACUUCAUGAAUCUGAGUACGCAAAGCUCACAGACAGGCCAAACGGAUGUCUGUUAGGAGGCGCUUGAGGGGAGGAGAGCGUUCAGAAAGCACGUGGAGGUUCUUGUUUGGGAGGUACGAUCAAAUGGUUUAUCAGCUGAAGAAAUUUUGCUGAGCGAUAUCUUUAUAAACGUGCACUUAUCUGCAUAUGCUGUCAACUUCAGUGACUUUUUUGAACUUUACAGAAGAACGCCUGACACUUCAAUCCAUGAUCGAGCUACCUGAAACGAGUCGUGGCUCACUUAGCAGACCCCAGAGUAGGGAACAGAAUGGAAUUUACUCCUUCUUUAGGUGGCCACAUGGGACCUUAAAACACACAGGAAAGGAGACCUGGGAGAAUCCAUCCCGUAUAGUGUGGCACGGGAUGGCAAAUAGAUGAGAGAGGAAAUUCUAUAGGUGAGUACGGUGCCAAGAGCAUGUGGCUUAGGGCUGAUUGUUCACCCAAGAAGGGCUCCUUUUGAUUGUGGUACACAAACUUUCAUUCUUGUGUUUGUAGAGGUUGGAGAGUCUGCUGAAGUUAUCUGUCCGGGACUUUAUGUUUACCAUCCCUAAUUUCUCUGUGAUCGCCUCAAUAAUUUGGCUUACAAAGUGAACCUGAAAUGACCCACUGUUAUAGAAUCUUUGGGUUUGCCUGUUGGAAAGAAAGAGUCAAAAGUAGUAGUGGUUUUGACAUGAUUUUCUGGAAGAAAACUCUUCCUUGUAAAAUGAGAAGUCUUUUCUUGAGUUUGACAAACCACAGUGGCCUAUAGUGUUUCCUCAUGCAGCUCUGGGUUCCUGGAAGGCAGGGUCACUAAUGUCAGCCUGUCCGGGAUCCUCUCCCGUCCUGUCAUUGACAAAGCCAUGGUGAAUUUUCCAACCAGAUUCUGGAGCACUGGAGAGACCACUGUCUUGCUCAGUUUCCUUGAGAAUUAGGCGAGACAGCUUCGAAGAGCCAUCAACAUAAGAUCCGAAUCUAUGGUGUGACUCACGACCCUGACCGCUGUCUAGCUUUUGGAAAAACUGUGUUGAGAAAGUUCUGAGAAGAUUGGCUUCAUGUGUGGUGUAGUGAACUUUGAAUUUAGUGCAAGGUGGUCUUCCGACCUGUUCGCAAAAGGAGAGAGAUGGAGAGAUAACACAUUUCCUCUUGGGGCUGGAAUUUAUCUCUAACGUUUUAGCUAGCUGUGUGUUCAGAGUUUUGGGCCAAAACUCCACUUAGCAUACAAUUAUGAGCUUAGAGUGUCAGAAAGGCUACCGCCCAGAAUGAGCCAGGACUUGAAAGAAAUGCGAAACUAAAUAUUAAGGAAAUAUGAAGGGAAAUUACAAGAGGAGGUUUGAGUUUUGAGUAAGAAGAAUAAGGAAGUGAUUUGCCCACCCCCUGGGGCAGGUGAUCUAAUGUUGACAGAUUCACUGACAAGCAGAGCCUCCUCUGACUUCCAGAGACAAGGCUGCUCAGAGGAGGACUAGUCUGUGGAAGCCAAGGCUUGUUGGGAAUUUUCGAAAGAGAUGAAAUUUAUCACGUGAAGCUGAUCAAAGGUGGUCUGUUCUUUGGUGUACAAGGAACAUUAGGACAAAAAAACUGAGUUUUCACACCUGCCAAAAAGUCGUUGUUGGUCAGAAGCAGACCGUAUGGAAGCUAUCCAAAAAAAGCAAGCGGAGUACAAUGCACAGUGAAUUAGUUAGACUCUGCAGACUUAGUAGAUCAGAACUGUUAGUACUGGACAAAAUCCUAGGACCAUAUCUUCAUAUCUUGAAAGGAUGGUCACAAUGUGGUGAUAUGGUGACCCCCAGAGAGGUGAAGUCAUUCAUUUCUGGAGAUAGUACUUGGUUCAUGAAAGUAAGUGUUUCUGGACCAAGUUCAACAGGUUGACUGAGGGGCUUAUUGGGGAAACAGAAACUUUACGAAAGAAGAAAUGGUGUCCAUCUUGAUGGCUAUGACCUGCAUGCUGGUUGUAGCAUUAGAAUGGAGAUCUCUAGUGAUGGGACUCAGGACUGAGAGUCUCUCUUCUUUCAUAUUUUUAUCUGUCUGAAUUAUAUAACCUAUAGACUGUAUUUGCGAGUGUUGAUGACAAGCUGACAGAUGUAAGCAUGUACCCAUGCAGACAGGAUUUAGACUAAUCAUGGAAUAAGUGUACUAGAAUUAUUUUGACAGAUUAGGAGGAUAGACCUGAUCCUCCUAAUAUAAGGCUAUUCCAAAGCCUCAUAUUACUUACCUAUAAAAUGAAAGUAAUGUUAUUAUCCUUUCCAUAUGGUUGGUGUGGAAAUCCAAUACAAGGAAUUGGUUAAAAAGCACUGUACUUAACCCCAGGCUUUGCAGUAGCCUAUUGCUCAACAUCUGUUUUUAUUGAUACUGCUGCUAACGUGAUUACAGUCAAUAUUAACACAAAUAUACCAGCAAGAACAAAGCAAAACAAAGUCCAAAAGCCAGAAAACAAAAACAUGUGGACACAGGUUCCUAAAUGAACUCCAUUUGACUUAGAGUGACUUAGAGAGUGUGACUUAGGGGAAAUUCGCAGGAAGAACACUUAGCUGCUGGUCGAUCAUGAAGCAUGUGUGAGCUCAAAUGGAUCUGCAGUUAAGCUCCUGUGUCUGGCUUCAGUUGUCUUGACAGAACUGUGGUGUCUAGAACAAGAGAUGUAACUCCCUUGGUCUAUCGGAAGGUAGACCUCCACACGAAAGGUUCUGAGUUCAGAGCUAGGGCUCACACACCUUCAGGUCUCGGCCCUAAAGGCACAUGAGAAUCAUAUGGAGAGCUCAGAUAAUAGUCCGUGAUUCUAGGGCCCCGCCUGGAAUAUGGACAGCAGACGUCUGGCCACUUCUUUAAACAAAUGCUGACAUUUUGGAGGUCUUCGUAGAGAUCUAACACUGUGAGGAUAUUAAAAACUCGAGACAGUUAAGAGAUUUUAGAUUUUAUUUUGUUUGUACGUGCCUGUCUAUGUGUGUGUAUAGAUGUGUGUAUAUGCCUAUACAUGUAUACAUAUAUAUGCAUGUAUGUCUACAUGUAUAUGUGUAUGGGGGAAAGCACCAGCAGAAGAGAUAAGGUGGUGACACAGGGAGCCAGAUGAAUUCAGAGUCCUGGCCACUCUCUUUGUAAUAACUUACUGUCAUGCCAAUGACCCGGUGUAGCACAGUGUGUGCAUGUGUAUGCACAUAUGUAUGUAUCUGUGUGCAUAUAUGUAUAUUUGUGUGCAUGCGUAUGUGCAGGUGCCUAUAAGUGCAUGUGUGGAGGCCAAAGGCAGAUACUGAUCUAACUUUAUCAAUCAUUCUCUACCUUAUUUAUUAUCUCUCACUGGACCUGGAAUCCACCAACUUGUGAGACAGGUUGGUCGGGAAGAUUCUGUGGUCUACCUCUGUCUACCUCUCAUUUUGGGGGCUACAGGGGUGUCACCAUCUCCAACGUUUUCCUUGACUAUGGGGAAUUUGAACCCAUGCCUUCACACUUAUUCAGUAGGUCCUUUAUCCACUGAGUCACCUCUCCAGCCCUAAGAUAUUAUCAAACAAUCAUUAAGAGUUUAAGGCACGUGGAAAUGUACCACCAGGCAACGUGUUGUGAGGAAGACUUGUUUUUCCUAUUUCCAAAGGGUAAAACUUAUAAUGCCAUGUAAGUUCAGAGGGUGGUCGACUAACAUUUGAAUAGUAUUCAAAGUAAUUCGAUUUUCUAAAAACAUCAAUGAAUUAUUUUGUGAAAUCAAUCAAUUAUCAUUCAAGGAUGUUAUGGAAAUUGUACGCAUAAAAGAAAAUGCUGCACUUCAGCUAAUUAAUACACUUAUAAUUCUAUUAAAAUUCUUGUUACUUUACUGAUAAAGUGAACUGCACCCACUUAGCAGUCACAGAGUGGCCUUUUUAAAGGCUUCCGAAUUAAUUCAAUGUCUUUUUAUGUUGUGAUUUCUGACUCUACACUUUGCAGACAGCCCCAGUGUUAAAGGUUUGUAGAAAAAAAUAAGACACACAAGAUUGGAUAAUGUAUAAAGGAAAGAGGUUUUUUUUGAGUGAGCCUUUAGGGAGCAUAUUCCAACAACACCCAAACAAUGGCAAUAAGCCACCAUCAUAGUGUACCUAGGAGAGACAUCAUCUAUAGCUACAGUAGCCAGGCCUUGGAAGAAAACAGAGUGAAGGCAAAAUUCAGAGAGAGAGAGAGAGAGAGAGAGAGAGAGAGAGAGAGAGAGAGAGACAUAUAAGCAAAACAUUUAUACAUACAAGUUUAAUUUUAAAAUUAAAUAAAGUUACUUCAUGGGGAAAGUCUUUAUCAUACCACAAAAGAGCCAAUACAACUAAAUUCCAGUGCCAUAACGUUUGGGCAGUCCCUUGGCAGUCAUGACAACAGAGGUCUAAUGUGUACCCUGGGUCUCCAAGUCCUCUAAUACCUGUUAUAGUAGCUGUCUUUCAUUCUGAAUCUGAAUAGCAUUUCUGAUCUAAGAAGUCUCUAUUGGCUAUAGGUGAUCAGUUCAUCCAAAAGGAAGAAGAGAGACUGGGUAAAGGAUGGGCGAGGAUUUCACAUACUUUACUUAUCAGUGGCCAGAGAAAGGCAGACCUCACAUCAAGUUUGAAAUUUCCACUGAUCUCUGUGUUGAAUCACCAAAGGUUUCAGCCUUUGAGUUGUGUCUGAAGACAGUUUGUUUUUAAACUUAUGAAAAGACUUUUCAGCCAUUAAUUGACUCAACGUUUGAGGAAGGCCUCUGUUUCAGCUAUAUUAACCAACAUCUUUGAUUAUCCAUGUGUUCUUUGUCAAUGUAACCUUCAGAAGAACUGGCUGAGUCUGGUCAGUCUGUCAUGCUACCAAAGUGUAUUGUGAGGUUGUCAUCAUUAUUUGAUUUGCAUUAGAUCCCAUUAGCUCGGAAUGGAUAUGGGGAGAAUUCUUGUUCUGGAGUGUUUAACAGAUAUUUGUGGAAUUCAUAAAUAACAUUAGGUUACUAAAAUACCUGACUUUCAUACUCAUGCUUGUGCCUGUGAUUCACCUUUUUUUCUAGAGUAGUUCUAGAAUUUUGUAGUAUGUAAGUUUAGUUUUAGAUCGUGUCUCUCGUUUCUUAAUUUUGUUUAGGGGAGCAACUUGCCCAGGAAAAUAUUCUGGCCACUAGGUGGAGCCCAGUAAGUGCUCUAGCCAAUGAGAAGACAAAAACCUAGGGGAAGUUUCAGGACUAAUUUCUUACUGAAAGAGCAUGUAUAUGAUGCUUGCUUAGACAUAUCCAUCCAUCCUCUAUCCAUCCAUCCAUCCACCCAUCCGUCCAUCCUUCAUCCAUUCAUCCAUCCACCCAUCCAUCCAUCCACCCAUCCAUCCAUCUAUCCAUCCAUCAUCCAUCCGUUCAUACAUACAUACAUACAUACAUACAUACAUACAUACAUACAUACACACACACACACUAAUUUUUCCUGUCUUAGGUUAAACACACAAGAAUCAUUCUGCAAAGCUGAGGAAAGGCCCAGAGCACUUCAGAGAAACAUUGAACAGUUAGAAAAGAGACGAAAGAGACCAUCACCUCACUACCUACGGGACUCCUGCAGUGUCUAGAUAUGUAGUUUCUGGUAGGCUUGAGACACUGCUUUCCCUGGAGACAAGUAGCUGAGACAAGUAGGCAAAGAAAAGAAGAGCACGCUGACUUGAUGUGAGACCUAAUGUGACCUGGAUUUCCACAGAGAAAACUGUGCCUUCCCAUGUAAAAAAAAAAAAGGCAGUAUAGGCAGGCAAAGAAAGGAGCAAACACAAAGCGUAACUACUAGGAACUGAACGCAGCAGUAUGGUCGCCUGCUGUUUUCUUUCAUGUGGGCAGAAGAUAAAGCGAACUCUCUUCCAUUUUGAUAGGCUUUUAAGCUGUCCAGGUGAAUCUCCAUCUUACUAUGUAGCAGAGACUGCCCUUGGACUCCUCAUCCUCUUGCCUCUUGUCCCAAGGGAUGGGACCACAGGCUUGUGCUGCCAUGAUCAACUUCUCAUUCCCAUGCAGAGCUCUCAGUCUUUCCGGCUACAUUCCUUCUCAGGUAUAUUUAUACCAAAGCCCAUUUUGGAUAGUAAUAAUGUUUCAUUAAAGUGUUUUGUUUUUCCUGCCAGCCAAUUUGAACAGAGUUCUACUCCCAACAUGUUCCCUGUGCAAACCCAACAUUUUUGAGAAUUAUAUUUUCCCUGUAUCAGAAGUUGAAAACACUAUCGAACGUUAGGACCCAAAACCAGUUCAUUCUGCUUCCUGAACUAAGUGGAUACGAACCCAGCCAUAAGCAGGCAGUGGUUUCUGAGCUUCCUGAUUUGGUAGCUGAAUACAGAUCACAGGCCAACUCUCACAUGAGCUGCUACCACAGUCUCCCAGUAUUUCCAAGAAACAAAGCGCUCAAUAAAGACGUGUGUGUGUGUGUGUGUGUGUGUGUGUGUGUGUGCGCGCGCGCACGCGCGCGCGUGCGCAUGAUCAAUUUUCAGAGUCUUUGUCUUGAGACGAACCCUAAGUUGUUCAAUGAACAUUUUACCUCUACAGAAAACUUUUCAAAUUCACUGAUUAAUGAAAUGUGAAAUAUUUUUUCUCACCAAAAGCUGUGGUCCCAAAUCUGUUACUUCCACCACCAAAAAUCCUUUCAAUUCUGCAGCUCAGUACAUAUUAUAUUGUCCGAGGAAAUCAAAGAUUUUGGGAUGUGUGGAAGUUAGAGAACUAUGUGCUCACACAAGACCAUCACUGUACUUGACAUCUAUCAUGCCCGCCAGGUAGGUAAUUGUUUGUUACCUUUUGAGUAAUUUGGCACUUGUGUAGGCUUAACAUUAGUGGAUCUAUCUUAUGGGAAAGAUCUACUAUAAGCAAGAAUUAAUAUUUUUGAAGUUGUAGCAUUAACAAAUAAUGAGAACUAUGACUGUGGGUUGAUGUCUCUAUGUAGGUGAGGGCGGGCACAAGAUAAGGCAAGGCCUGUGAUUGGGCAGUGAAAAAGAAAGGCAGGGACAAAGUUUUUGUAAGGCAGAAGAGAUGAGAAGGCAGAGGAAGAACCAGGAUGGAGAAAGAGAAUGACCCAUGUGGACUUAAAUGGUCACAGGUAAGAAGUGGUUCUGUGGAGAAUUCCUGAAAUGACAUGCACACAGUCCGUGUGGGUGACUGUCAUGCUAGUAAGAUUCAUGACGCAGAGGAAGCAUGUUCAGGAGGAAAAGCAGAAGCUCUGGCUGCUGCGAUCUAGAAUGAAGCAGGACACCUGGUCUUCACAUCUGAGAGCUGAUCAAGUCGAAAGACCAAGGAGGGAACGCACACCAACUGUAAUUCCCAGCAUGACUAAGGUGCAAAAGGGCUCGGCGUAUAGUGACCUUGCGCUGCCCUGUGGAUAAGUCACAGUCAAAUCGUACCUGUUCAUUUCCAGGACUCUUGGGAAAACCAAUUCAACAAUUCAAAAUACUCAACACUUAAAAUAAAUACAAUCAUGGGGCUCUUCAUUCAUAUUAUGCCCGGACAAACAGA